rnacentral:lncRNA from 8 species
AUGAUCAUUAACACUCCCGAUAGCAAUAGGACAAGCAGCUGUGUUCCGGGGCUCUUGGAAAGGCAGCCACUCAAGCCACUCACAGGAGGGAUCCAGACCACCUGGCUCCUACCCUGGCCAGCCCAGCAACCAACUCCCAGCCAGGGGAAGAGGGGGGAGGGUAAUCGUUGACCUCUUACCCACUAAUCUAUGAAAUCUAUGGACAAAAUACAUUAAGCAGAUGUUCUUAUCCACAGUGACUGACAGUUAGUGCAUUCACCUUAAGAUAGCUAGGUGAAAUAACCACAUAUCACAGUCAUAGUAAGUACAUUUUUCCUCAAUAAAGCUGUUAUCAGUAAAGUCCGUGCAAAAAGAAAAGACAAGUGCUUAUUUAAGAUACUAUUUUGAGGGAUAGGGUUUCAAACAUUUUAUAUGAAUCGUUCAGUUAGUGAUUUAAAUAGUUCACCUUACAUGCAAGUUACAGCACUGACAUCUUUAUGAUGAACAAGAGGUGAAAAUUCUCGUACAUCGCUACCUAGGGAUAUUCAGUCCAAAAUAAAAGUCUGGGACUGUUGUGUCAUGUAGUGUUUUUUUUACUUAAACCUUUAACUAGGUAAGUCAGUUAAGAACAAAUUCGUAUUUACAAUAACAGCCUAACCCGGAUGACGCCGGGCCAAUUGUGCACAACCCUAUGGGACUCCCAAUCACAGACGGAUGUGAGGUAGCCUGCAGUGAUGCUUCUUGCACUGAGAUGCAGUGCCUUAGACUGCUGCGGAGUGUGUCGUGUUUUGUUGUGAGACAUGCGUUCUAUCCAGGUUACAUCCCAAAUGGUACCCUAUUCCCUAUUUAGUGUGCUCGACUUUUGACCAGGGCCAAUAGGGCUCUUGUUAAAAGUAGUGCACCAUGUAGGGAAUAGGGUGCCAUUCGGGACAUAUCCAUUUGCCUGUAUGGACUGUGGCGUCGGUCAGAUUCCUAGUGAAGAGCUCUUGAGAGGGAGUGGAUGACCAGCAGCCAGGCGAGGCCACGCUUAGACGAGUAGACAAGAUUUCCAGAGUGCCACUGUGCCAUGGGAUUAACAUCUGUGCCACUGGCUGCAGGGAAUGAAACUCUGUGCGUCCCAAAUGGCACCUUAUUCCCUAUGUAGUGCACUACUUUGGACCAGAGGCCAUAGGGCUCUGGUCAAAAGUAGUGCACUAAUGUAGGGAAUAGGGUUCCAUUUGGGAUGCAAACAAUGUGCUGCUCCAGGCUCACAGAGCAUGUCUGUCUGCGGGUAUGAAAGAGGUGGAGAGCGCGCUGAGGAAACAAGGGAGACUAGCCAUUGUCCAGGGGAGGCUGGAUGACGGUUCACAAUGCUCCUUCCUGAGGAUCUGAGGUUGAAGAAGGCUACUGGAGUCUGCAGGCAGCAUUCUUUUACUGGGAGACAAUGGUCCUUCAGCUCAGGGUUGUAAAAUCAACCAUUCAAUAUCACUGUAUGACAGUUCUAUAGGAUAAGGCACCACUAGUAUCCUUAUGAGGAAAGUCAUUAUCUAGCGUAUAGGUUAUUUAUUCUUCCUGCGAAGGAUGAGCAUAACACAAAGGACAUAGUAUGGUUUCAAUGUGGAUAUCCUUCUGGAUCAUAUAUCAGAGGUAUAGUAGGUUUCACUUCUUCACCAAAGGUCACUUCUUCACCCCCCCCCCCCCACUGUGUAGGGGGAAAAAUGAACACAAAAACAUGUGCUUUGUCUUUGACAACCUCAAUCAUGUUCUAUAAAGAAGGGAAAACCACACUUGAAAUGGUUAUGAUUUAAAUCAAUAAGUAAAGAAUGCUGAAUAUGUGGAAGAGUUACAGUCAGGACUGGAGUUCCUACAGAUGUAGGAUCUUAAAUUGAGCCAGUUUGCUACAGCAGGAAAAUAAUCCUGAAUCGACAGGAAAUGGGAAUUAUUAUGUGGGUUAUAAUUAAUGGACAUUUUUGGAGGGGUUGAUAUAUUUUUCGUUAGGGCAGAUCAAGUCUGAAAUGACAAAGUCUUAAAAGUAUUUUUAAACCUUGAAUACACUACAAGUUUGCAUUUCUCUGCAACAAAAGACAGAUUCAAUUAAUAUCCUAAAUCUGUAGUUUUGUCAGGAGGUACAGUGCCUUCAGAAGGUAUUCACAUCCCUUGACGUUUUCCCCCAAAAAUGUGUUACAGAGAUGUAUCACUGGCCCACACAAUAACCCAUAAUGUCAAAGUGGAAUUAUGUUUGUAGAAAUGUUUACAAAUUAAUAAAAAAUGAAAAGCUAAAAUGUCUUGAGUCGAUAAGUAUUCAACCCAUUUGUUAUGGCAAGCUUAAAUAACU